UCACCAGGUCCUUGAAGAUUGCCACAAUGGCUGAAAAUGGUGAUAAUGAAAAAAUGGCUGCUCUGGAGGCCAAAAUCUGUCAUCAAAUUGAGUAGUAUUUUGGAGAUUUCAGUUUGCCACGGGACAAAUUUUUAAAGGAACUGAUCAAAUCAGAUGAAGGCUGGGUACUUUUGGAAAUCAUAAUAAAAUUCAACAGGUUAAACCAUCUCACAACAGACUUUAAUGUAAUUGUGGAAACACUGAGCAAAUCUAAGGCAGAACUCAUAGAAAUCAGUGAAGAUAAAACCAAAAGCAGAUGGUCUCCAAGCAGACUCCUCCCUGAAGUGACUGAUGAAUACAAAAAUGAUGUAAAAAACAGAUCUAUUUAUAUUAAAGGAUUCCCAACUGAUGUAACCCUUGAUGACAUAAAAGAAUGGUUAGAAGACAAAGAUCAAGUACUAAAUAUUCAGAUCAGAAGAACAUCACACAAAGCAUUUAAAGGAUUAAUAUUUGCUGUGUUUGAUAGCAUUGAAUCUACUAGGAAGUUUGUAGAGACCCCUGGCCAGAAGUACAAAGACACAGACUUGCUAAUACUUUUCAAGUAUUAAAAAGAAAUGAAGAAAGAAAACAAAAUCAAAAUCAAACAGAAGCUAAGUUAAGAGCUAAACAAAACUGUGAUAUCUAGCACUAAAUAUUAUUUCAGCAGAACUGGGUAGUGGAGUUAAGAAUCUUCCAA